CAGAGAAAAGUGCACGAAAUGCCAAAUGCAUUUUAUCGUCAAUUAUACAAUUUAAAUUACACUCUAAUCCGUGGUAAUAAGAUCUAUAAUUCCUCGGCUAAUACAAGUUAUGGAUCAUAAACAACGAUAACGAAAGAAUUAAAUACUGGAACCCUGGGAUUCAAACACAUGCACAUCUAGGAGUGACCCGUACACUCAAGCACAUAUUGCACAAGCACACAAAGGACAAAACAGAGGAGCAAACGGGGAGGAGACUCACCUGGAGUUAAGCGAUAUACACUUACAUUGGUGAUGCACGGCGAAAACUGCGUUAAAAACGCUCAGAUGUGGAACGACG